GACGAACGCUGGCGGCGUGCUUAACACAUGCAAGUCGAACGAUGAAGAAGAGAAACGCGAACUUCGGUUCAAAUUUCACUUCGGAUUAGUGGCAGACGGGUGAGUAACGCGUGAGCAACCUACCUCUUACAAAGGGAUAGCCUCGGGAAACCGUGAUUAAUACCAUAUGACACAUUCAUAAGGCAUCUUAAGAAUGUUAAAGCUACGGCGGUAAGAGAUGGGCUCGCGUCCCAUUAGCUAGUUGGUGGGGUAACGGCCCACCAAGGCGACGAUGGGUAACCGGCCUGAGAGGGUGAACGGUCACAUUGGAACUGAGACACGGUCCAAACUCCUACGGGAGGCAGCAGUGGGGAAUAUUGCACAAUGGAGGGAACUCUGAUGCAGCGACGCCGCGUGAGCGAUGAAGGAAUUCGUUUCGUAAAGCUCUGUUCUAUGGGAAGAAAAGGACUGUACCAUAGGAGAAAGCCCCGGCUAAAUACGUG
rnacentral:rRNA from 1 species